GGGGAUUUAGUCUAGUGGUAUGAUAUUUGCUUAGGGAGCAAAAGGUCCCGAGUUCAAUUCUCGGAAUCCCCA
rfam:Triticum aestivum genome assembly, contig: Triticum_aestivum_CS42_TGACv1_scaffold_272148_3DS